CCUACGGGGGGCUGCAGUCGAGAAUCAUUCACAAUGGGGGAAACCCUGAUGGGGCGACGCCGCGUGGGGGAAGGAAGGUCUGCGGAUUGUAAACCCCUGUCAUGGGGGAGCAAAUUAAAAAGAGAGUACAACAAGAGGAAGAGACGGCGAACGCGGGGCCAGCAGCCGCGGUAAUACAGAGGGCGCAAGCGUGGUUCGGAAGCACUGGGGGUAAAGCGGGCGUAGGCGGUUUAGUAAGGCGUGUGUGAAAGGCGCGGGCUCAACCCGCGGCCGGCACCUGAUACUGCGAGACUAGAGUAAUGGAGGGGGAACCGGCAUUCUCGGUGUAGCCGUGAAAUGCGUAGAU
rnacentral:rRNA from 1 species